rnacentral:misc_RNA from 1 species
GGCAAAACGUCCGCCCGGGCCCGAGGCGGGCGGAGGCAGCUGUGGUUACGUGCGGGGGGCCGGUGACGCAGUCGCGGGGCGCUGGGACGCGGCUUGCGGAGCCGGCCGGCGAGCGCAGGCCCCAGGCUCGGGCGCGGCGGCGGGACAGCACCUACCUUCCCGGCUUCGGGUCCGGGAGUGCGGGGCGCGGAGCCGCCGGAGCGCUGCCUCCCUCCUUCCUCCUCCCCUCGCCCCCGCCCCGCGGCGCGACACACAAUACUCGCCGGAAGCGGAAGCCGCGCCGAGGCUCGUGUCAGUGGAAGCUGGGGUGUCGGCGGGCGGCCGCGGCCGGGUCUAGUGGUGCCUGCGGAAGAAGGAGGAGGAGGGCUGGCGAUGAGAAGCAGCAGGGGGAAUCAAGGGCAAGAAGGGACCCAGAGGGGCAGGUGGCUGAGAUGCUGGCGUCCAGGUGACCCGAGGAAUCCUCUGGAGAUACAGGCCCGCGCAUGCGCGUGCUCGAGCGCUGAAGCCCAUUGCCCGCAGGGCGCUGGACUGGCGCCCCGGCCGGCGAGGCUGUCUAGUCCAGGCUCCAGGCCCCGGCUCUGGCCAGGCGCCGCCGCCUCCCGGUGCAGCUGAAAGUCGACGAAGAGGGCGGGGCGGGGGCGGCUUGUGGACUUCCACACUUUUCCUCUCUUCGGGCCAGUCUGGGGAGAGGGUGGCUAGCUGUGGCGGCGGCCAAUUACGUGGCGGACCUGCGGGGCUAAGCUGGCACGUCACUUCCGACUAGUGGAGUUUUUAGCCUUUUAACAUUCAAGGAUUAGAGCUCCCUCUUUGCCCACUAGCAGGGCAUUAGCUGGUGCUGAAGACAGUGGCUGCUUGGCGAGCCUGGAUCUCCAAGUGACCCCCUCAGCAACUCCUGAUGAACAGGACUGAAGCCAAUAUUAAAGCAAGUCAACCAAAGGUUCUCUGGUGUAGACAAGACAGCAAAAGGACAGACUACCUUGUGGAACCUAGCAUUGUUCUCCUUCUGCAGCACUAAGUAACAUUUGUUCUCCGUUAAGAUCUUUGCAAACCACACACAAGAAUUGCUGGUCAUCCUGCCAAUAGAUGCUGCUCACAGAACCAAAUUUCCUGUGCUGAAUUGUCACUCAUGGGCUUGAGAGUAGGAGACUGGAGACCAAGGUGGCUAGAAUCCAGUUGGGCCUGAUGUCUCCCUGUUGAAAGGGCUCCUUGUGGAAUGAAUAGCACAUGGCUCCUGUGGUGGAUCUGAUAGUGGCAUAGCACCAAGUGAUGCAGGCCUGCCAGGGGCCACAGACACAGAAGAUGCUCCCGGGGUCCCCCAUGUACUCCAGACACACUGCAGGCCACCUCUCCCAGCAGGUUGCCAGUCAUGGGCCCCAUCAUCAUGACUUCUGUCCAAGGUGUGCUCGGAAAUCUCUUCCUUAACUGUGACUUUCUGACAGGUGGAGGAUGUGGUCAGGAGUGGGAAAAGGAUUCGAGACGGGAAGAGGGAGGGGUUCAGGAUGAAGAGAGAUAAUCUGUGCCACAGAUGCUGGCCCUGCAGUUAGCUCCCACCUAGUCCGUGCACACACAUUCUAAUCCCCUCCCAUUCCUUUACAUGCUGCGGCCAGAGAGGCCUUUCUCAAAGUGGAAGUCUCAUCCUCACUUCUCUGGUUACAGUGCUGGGCCAUGGUAACUUACAAGGCUUAGCAGGAACUGUCUGCGCACUCCCCCUUCCUGCCCACUACCUUGUUUCCCUCCAGUUGCGAGAGAAAACAUUGAUUGAGCAUUAACUAUGUGCCAGGCUUGUCCUAAGUCCUUUGCAUGUAUUCACUCAAACAAUCCUCACAACAUUCCUAUCACAUCUCCCAUUUCACAGUGAGGGUUCUAAAGCACGUAGUGGGUGAGGAACUUGUCCAGGGUCACACAACUAAGUGGGGGUGGAGAAACAUCAAAUCUAGGUGGUCCAGGUGGUGGCCAGAACCCAUCAGCACCUCACUACAGCUGCCUCCAGUUUCUCGCUCUAGGAAAUACUCUUCCCUGUCAACUCCUGUUGUCCUCUGGGCUCAGUUGACAUGUCAUCUCCUUGAGGAGGACAUCCUGAGAUGCUCCCCGACUAGGGUGGGCACCCACUUCCACACUCCAAAUGCCUAUUUGACCUGUGUAUCGCUGCAUCCCCACUGCCUGGCAGAUAGCAGGCCCCUAAUAAAUAUGAUUUGAGCAAAUAAAUAUAGUUCUUCAAAAAAUAGGGAGGACUUCUUGCUUCAGGUAAUGGUAGGCUAGGACAUUUGGACCAACCCUCCUGCAGAAAAUAGCCAUUUAUUUUGAUGCAAUAUAUCUGGCUAUGACUAGAGAUUUCAAAUAUUUGGAGGGCUAUUAUGUGAAGAACUAAACUUACUCUUUGUGACAUAGAGGUCAGAAAUUGGUCGUUUCCAUAGAGUAUGAGAGAGACAGAAUUGUGCUCAUCAUAAGUAUCUUUUUUAAAAGUUAGACUUAAUAAAAUGGGCUGCCUUGGUAGGUGGUGAGUUCUCUGUCACGAAAGAGAUUCAGCCACUUGCUCUGAGAAAGCAUGGAGAAUAUCAACAUUGUAAGGGUCGACCACCUCAUCUCUGAGGCCCCCUCCUCACUUAGGUUGCCAUUGCAGGUGGAACACUGGGCUGAGUGUCAAAGAACCUGGGUUCCACAAGCUGUGCGACCAUGGCUGGUUGUUUUGGAUCUCAUUCCUAAUAUCUGUUAGUUAAGCUGACCCGUCAAUACUGACCCACUUCACAGAGUUAUGAAGGGAUUAAAUUAGGUAUUACAUGUAAAUCUGUUUUGUUUGCUUUUUGUUGUUCUUUUUUGUUUUGCUUUUUUCUUUGCAUUAUGAAAUCCCAAGUCAACUUUUUCCAUUCUUUUAUUUUUUUAAAAAUUGACAUCAUCAUUAUAACCACAAAAUAAUUUUUAAAAUGGAAAAAAAAAACUCACCUGCAACCCCACAAUCUAAUACAAUAAUCAUACUUUUUUCCCUUUAUUCUCCUUUAUUGUGACCAAGGAUGACUUUGGGCAUUGCUGUGAGGAACUAUUUCGUUUAACACCCUACUACCUGAACAUGAUGCGUACUCAGCCUUUCACCACCCCCCAAGUAGCUACACAUGAUGUGAUAAUAGUAUUGGUGGUGGUUUUAGAGAGUUGGAGAGAAAACUGAAGUUGGAUUUGGGUAAAAGAAAAAAGAGUGGGAAUUAUUUUUUCUCCAUUCUAAAGCCCAUAAAGCAAUGUUAAUUGUUCCCACCCCUCUGCUAUUCUGUCUCCUCAGGUACUGUGUGCAGAAAUGUGAUUGAGAUUCAAGUCAGGGCCUCUCUGCCCUUUUCCCUCCAGAAACAAAACCAAGAUAAUUUAUCCUGAACACGGUGAAAAAAGGAAGGGAGGGAGGAGAAAAAGUCCGGGUCUCACCUGGGAUUCUCUGUCUCCUGCAACAUGAAGGAUUUAGCCUGGGAGGAGGUGGUGAGAACUCUGGGAGAGAAAAAAGAAGGAAAGAAUAGUUUUACCCAUGCUGAAGUUAAUUUAAACCUUCACCUAGAGAAGCAAAAAAAAAAAACCCACACUUUCCCAUUUUGUGCCUCCCUUCCUAGAGUUUUAGCCAAAGGUUUAGCUAAGUAAUUGGUUUUACCAGCGCACUCACUCCUCCUAUCCCAAGUCUGUUUGACUCCCUCCCCAUCAUCCUCCUCACCUCUUUUCAGGCAGGGUGGGGAUAGCAGCAGGAGGAGAUUUUGGGAGCCUGGCAACUCCUGCAAGGACCGCAGGACAGCCCCUCUGUGGGGAUGCGUGGUGCCCCAUCUGCCGCCCUUCUGAAGAAUGCACUGCCUUCACUUUUUACUGUGUUAGAGUCCAUCCAGACUGUUCUAUCCAAAAAAGUUUCUUUUUCCCCCACAGGCAAUCAGGAAAUGAUUCCUUUCCCGACUGCUUCUGUCUAGUGCCUGGGAAUCUUGAGUCAAUCCCUCAGUAAGUCAGUGACUAGGGAAAUCCCUCUCUGAGCCUCCCAGUUCAUGUUGCUUAGGGAACCUGAUAUUUUCGUGAAACCUGCCUACACAUGGGCAGCCCAACAGCAGAACAAAUGGUGGUGACCAAAGUGAACAAAGAAGUAUAGUUGUGCCAGCUUCGUAGUUGCCCAUGUGGACAAGUCAGCAGGAUCAGGACACGAGGAAGAGUAAAUGUGAGACAGUCAAUGUGACUUCUGCGAUAAACAGAUUUUUAAACCCCGAAAUUUUGCAAAAUUUUGGUGAAACCUGAACUUUCUUCGUUGCAUAUACUGGCACUAUCUGUACCAUCAUACAACUGUCUCACAUUAAAGCUAUUUUUCUUGGGCACUGAUGAGUAAGGUUGGUAUAAGUUCCUCAGAUCAACAAAAACCCAUUUUCCUGUAAGUCUUACAUUUAGUAUUUAAGGAACUAAAACUUAAAUACAUUUUGUGAAAUGGUUGACACUUCACUGAUAAUGAUUUAUUGCUUGGAUUAAUAAAUUUUCCAAAAGUUGUCUUAUGUAGAAUAUGGUUUGCAACCAGCAGAACCAUUAAUCUAUACUGCAAUGAUAUGCACUAUGUAUAAUUGUUUAAAAGCCUCUACUUAAUGAUGUAAAAUGCUCUAUUUAAUUACACAUUUGGGUAAACUGUAUACUAACAUCUGAUGGCAUUUUUCCACUGUUUGUUGCUUUUUUCAAAUACUUUAUUGUACAAAGCUGUUCUUAAUAUUUUUCAAGUUUUUUUCUUUGAAUUUUGCUAAUGUUUUCCUUGAAUUAUGAGCACUGACAGAAUGUGCUUAGCACUUUUGGCUAUUCACACAGCUUUUGAGCAUGAUUUGCAUCCAAUAUUUACAUUGCUAGCAAUAAUAAGCCAUCUGUGAGUUUUGUCAAAA